AAGAUGAUGUAUACACUCUGUAAAUAUCAUGUUCAGAACAGCAACAAAGUCAAGAAAAAACAAAAUAUAAAUUCGCAUAGCCAAAAUAAAGAUAAAUUUUGAGAAAAUUUUAAGCAUAUUAUAAUUUAAUUCAUUUUAAUAUGAGCUCAUAUAAGUGAUUAAAUUUUUUUACACAUUAAAAUAAUUAAUCAAGUCAAUGUCGUUGCAAUCCAAUCACUUAUAUUUUGUCCUUUCAUUUCGUAUAUUUUCAUUGUGGGACAUUAGCUCAAGUCAUUUCCCAACAUGCCUCCCUCAAGUGCAACCACAUGGUUG
rnacentral:misc_RNA from 1 species